rnacentral:rRNA from 1 species
AGCAGCCGCGGUAAUUCCAGCUCCAAUAGCGUAUAUUAAAGUUGUUGCAGUUAAAAAGCUCGUAGUUGAAUUUCGGGGUUAGUAGGUUGGUCGUGCCACUGGUAUGCACUGGCCUCACUGAUUCCUCCUUCUUGUAGAACCGUAAUGCCAUUAGUUUGGUGUUGCGGGGAAACAGGACUGUUACUUUGAAAAAAUUAGAGUGUUUAAAGCAGGCUAACGCCUGAAUACAUUAGCAUGGAAUAAUGAAAUAGGACGUUCGAUCCUAUUUUGUUGGUUUCUAGGAUUGACGUAAUGAUUAAUAGGGAUAGUUGGGGGCAUUAGUAUUCAAUUGUCAGAGGUGAAAUUCUUGGAUUUAUUGAAGACUAACUACUGCGAAAGCAUUUGCCAAGGAUGUUUUCAUUAAUCAAGAACGAAAGUUAGGGGAUCGAAGACGAUCAGAUACCGUCGUAGUCUUAACCAUAAACUAUGCCGACUAGGGAUCGGAUGAUGUUAAUUUUUAAUGACUCAUUCGGCGCCUUAC